CCCCGUCUUGGAUAUGGUUUAGUUGGGGGAACCUAUGGUGCCCUUGGUGCAGGAUAUGGUGCUGCUGGCUUUGCACAACAAGUGAUCUAUGGUAGGGGACCAACUCCUGCUGGUAUGGCAAUGAUGCCGAUGCUUUUACCUGAUGGAAGGAUUGGAUAUGUCUUGCAACAGCCUGGAAUGCAACCACACACCCCUCCACCACAGCCUCGGGCUGGCAGGGGUGGUGGUGCUGGUAGCUCAAGCGGUGGAAGACGUGGCAAUGACAGUAACCGCGGACGCAGCCGGUAUAACCCAUACUAAUGUGAUUGUCUUUUAUUACAAGUGCAGAAGGAAAGAGGAAAAUUUCCUUCUUUUGACUAUUGAAUAAAGGCUAUCUGGUCGAUGAAGUGUGCUUUUAGGAUCUAAUAAUAUGUAGAAAGCACACCUGCAAUGAAUUUAAGCUGUAGGCAGAUGUGCUAAAAGGCAAAGGCUCUUGCACAGCUCAAUCCAUUUGCCUUUCGGUUUCAGGCUGGAGCUUGCUGGAUAGUAGCCUGUCAAUUAGUCUGUGAAGGUUAAAUUGUACCUUUGUUAACUGAUAGCUUGUUUGUGCCAAGACAGUCGAUGAUAAUUAAUUUUUAUAAUAUUGGUUAACAAA
rnacentral:misc_RNA from 1 species